CCUACGGGAGGCAGCAGUGAGGAAUAUUGGUCAAUGGACGCGAGUCUGAACCAGCCAAGUAGCGUGAAGGAUGACUGCCCUAUGGGUUGUAAACUUCUUUUAUAUGGGAAUAAAAUGUUCCACGUGUGGGCUUUUGUAUGUACCAUAUGAAUGAGGAUCGGCUAACUCCGUGCCAGCAGCCGCGGUAAUACGGAGGAUCCGAGCGUUAUCCGGAUUUAUUGGGUUUAACGGGAGCGUAGGUGGAUUGUUAAGUCAGUUGUGAAAGUUUGCGGCUCAACCGUAAAAUUGCAGUUGAAACUGGCAGUCUUGAGUACAGUAGAGGUGGGCGGAAUUCGUGGUGUAGCGGUGAAAUGCGUAGAUAUCACGAAGAACUCCGAUUGCGAAGGCAGCUCACUGGACUGAAACUGACACUGAGGCUCGAAAGUGUGGGUAUCAAACAGGAUUAGAUACCCCGGUAGUC
rnacentral:rRNA from 1 species